rnacentral:rRNA from 1 species
AUUGAACGCUGGCGGCAGGCCUAACACAUGCAAGUCGAACGAGUGGCGGACGGGUGAGUAAUGUCUGGGAAACUGCCUGAUGGAGGGGGAUAACUACUGGAAACGGUAGCUAAUACCGCAUACCAUCAGAUGUGCCCAGAUGGGAUUAGCUUGUAGGGUGGGUAAGGGCUCACCUAGGCGACGAUCCCUAGCUGGUCUGAGAGGAGGACCAGCCACACUGGAACUGAGACACGGUCCAGAAUCCUACGGGAGGCAGCAGUGGGGAAUAUGGCACAAUGGGCGCAAGCCUGAUGCAGCCAUGCCGGGUGGAUGAAGAAGGCCUUCGGGUUGUAAAGUACUUUCAGCGGGGAGGCGUUACCCGCAGAAGAAGCACCGGCUAACUCCGUGCCAGCAGCCGCGGUAAUAC